UCUGUUUGGUACUUUUCAUUUGAUCUGUGAAUAAAAUCUAAAUUUCUGGCUCAACAAAUGACCAUAUGUGUCCAUCGUGCCAGUAAUUUGCCCGGCUACGCAUCCAUUCGCAUCCAUUCAGCUCUUUAGAGAUGCAGAAUUCGGUUGAACUGCCGAUCGACCUGUGUUCAGACGAAUUGCAAUUCCUUUGAAACUGAAUGUACAAGUAUACUGGAGUGUCCUUAUGAG